rnacentral:tRNA from 1 species
AAGUUGGUUGUUCAGUGGUAGAAUUCUUGCCCUCCGCGCGGGAGUCCUGGGUUCAAUUCCCAGCCAAUAUA